AUAAUAUUGUUGAAAAAACAAACUUUGAGAUUUGUCUUAUUAUUAUUAUUAUUAAUUAUAGUAUAAUCAAUUAUUAAAUUGAUAAUAUUAAUAAAAAGAAUAAUUGAAAAUGUCUUACUAUAGUAGUUGGUUAGAAAAUUUAAAUCUGUUUAAAAGUUUUAGGUAUUAGGGGUUGUAAAUAGGGUUGUACUAUUAAUCACCUGCAUAAAGGGUUGCAACCCUUUUUAACCAGCUGCAUCAUUUCUUAGUUAGUAAAAAAGGGUGCAAAAAAUCAAAAUGGCUUCUGUUUUUAAAAAAGGGGUAUUGUGUAGCUGCGCAGAGGGUAAUAAUACUGAGUGCGCACAAAUAUCUGAUUCGCAUACGAUUGGGGAACUGAGAUGUACGCUUCAUAGUAAAGAAACAGGGUAAUAGUUUUUUACUUCAACCAACCAGAGCUUUGUAUUUUGAGUAUAGGAUGUUAAAGGGUUGUUACUAUAAGCUGCCUUACUCGAUUACGAUGUGAAUAUCUACAGUUGUGUACAUGUGCUGAAUUGUGACAGAAGUGGUUUAUUAGAUUUUUAAAUGUUAUAAAACUAAUAAAAAUAAUGUUUAAUUACAUAUUUUUAAUGUGUAAAUAAUGCUACAACGACAAGGAUUAAAUUUAAUAGGAUUGUUUUGUAUAACUAUACUAUAAGAAUAUGAUUGUAAUAUUCACUUCAGAAACAAGGGAGAAUAUCGUUUUUUAUAAUAGGCAUGUUCUAUUUUGUCUAUACAAAACGCCGUCACUGAUUAAAGCGGCUUCAAAAUCAGAUAAAACGGUGUGAUCAUUAUGUGAAUUCUGAAUUCCGAAAUUAGUUAAGACGAACAAAUCAAAUAAAAGAAUAAUAUACUCGGAGUGCAUGCAAAUUAACCGGAAACGUCGUCCGAAAUUGUCGUAUCUAAACUAAGGAAAACGGUCUCGGACAGUAUUGAAAUUGUCAAAUAAAUGGAGUGAAUUGACGUACUGCGGCGAAAAAAAUAAAUUCAAUGGAGGCAAUGGAAUUUACUAGACAGGCGUUGACGAUGACUCAAAGAUAUAAUAUGGUUGAAAAUCUGAAGUAAUCAUAUGCAUAUUGAUUACAUUGUAAACUAAUAACAAGAACAUUUAGUGGACUGUAUGUGUAAAUUCACGAGAGUAUUUACCAAUAUUCAUCUCUAACAAUAUUGUGUACGACUAUAUUAUACUAUUUGUAUAUUUAUGUUUCUUAUAUAAAUGCAAUUUUUUAUUCAAUUUAAUAUUGUAUGAUUUUUACAUUUUUUCGAUAUUAUUGUAAUUUUUUUUAUAAUGUUUAUAUUUUCUGAAUUUAAUACGUAAGCCUUUUGUGGGACUGUUUGCGUUUAUAUAAUUAAAUUUUACUCUGUAUAAUAUAAUAAUUGUUUUUUGAAUCAAUGAGAAUAUCAUUUACUAUUGCAUUUUACGUUUAAAAAAUGAUUAGAUUCAUAUAAUUUUCUUAAUCUCAAAUACUGUUACAAACAAUAUAUUAAAAUGUAUUAAAAUAUUUAUAUUGUUUGCAUAUUAUAAUAUUUAAAGUAUGAAAUUUAUGUUAACAUAAGAUAAAUUUGUGUGGAACUAUAUUAUUAGUUAUAUAUUAGUCAUAGAGCUUGAUUAAAAUCUAAUUAAAUUCAGUAGUAAUAAUUUAAGGGUAUAAUUUGGAAAUAAAUAGUAAUUAUAGUAUUAUUUAAAACAAAAAAUCUCACACCAUGAAAUGAAUUAUUUUCCUAAUUUCAAUGAUAAAAAGAGGUAUUGUACUAGUCACAAUUAUGGUUUAGUGACUUUUAAACCGACAAGAGUAAUAUGAAUUGUUUUUAAGUCAUAGUACUCAUUAGCAAUCAAGAGUUUUUUUUUUCAAUUUUUUAUUAAUCGUUUCAAUUUAACAAAGAUAAUAAUUAUUAAACGCCAUUUUGCAAAUGAAAUAGUAAUAAACUAAUAUUAAUAAAUAUUGAAUAUAUCACUCCAUGGUCCAUAUUGGGCCAUUCAGUUGCAAAAUGAUGUUGUAUCGUUUUAUUUUUGAGUCUUUUUAAUACAUUAAUAGCAAAGUCACCAAGAGAAAGCACAAUUAAAUAUUUUUUUGAGACAUUUAUUCUUUUGAAUUUUAAAGACUCAUUAAGUGUUUAAAAUAUUAUUUUUAAAAAAAAAAAAAAAAAAAUGUACAACGUAUUAA